rnacentral:rRNA from 1 species
GUGGGGAAUUUUGGACAAUGGGCGAAAGCCUGAUCCAGCCAUGCCGCGUGUGUGAAGAAGGUCUUCGGAUUGUAAAGCACUUUAAGUUGGGAGGAAGGGCAGUAAGUUAAUACCUUGCUGUUUUGACGUUACCGACAGAAUAAGCACCGGCUAACUUCGUGCCAGCAGCCGCGGUAAUACGUAGGGGGCUAGCGUUGCUCGGAAUUACUGGGCGUAAAGCGCGCGUAGGUGGUUUUGUAAGUUGGAGGUGAAAUCCCCGGGCUCAACAUGGGAACUUCCUCCAAAACUGCAUGGAUAGAGUACGGUAGAGGGUAGUGGAAUUUACUGUGUAGCGGUGAAAUGCGUAGAUAUAGGAAGGAACACCAGUGGCGAAGGCGACUACCUGGACUGAUACUGACACUGAGGUGCGAAAGCGUGGGGAGCAAACAGGAUUAGAUACCCGUGUAGUCC